rnacentral:rRNA from 1 species
UAACCUGCCCAAGAGAUCGGGAUAACACCUGGAAACAGAUGCUAAUACCGGAUAACAACAGAUGAUGCCUAUCAACUGUUUAAAAGAUGGUUCUGCUAUCACUCUUGGAUGGACCUGCGGUGCAUUAGCUAGUUGGUAGGGUAACGGCCUACCAAGGCGAUGAUGCAUAUCCGAGUUGAGAGACUGAUCGGCCACAUUGGGACUGAGACACGGCCCAAACUCCUACGGGAGGCAGCAGGA